ACUUUUAUCCAGCAGUUCAGAGAAAAACACAGCAUCAUGCCCUUACACCUAUUGUUUUCAACAUAUCAUUACAAUGUAUUUGUAAUCGGAAACAAGAUAUAAACUUUAUCAAUACCUGCACAUCUUCCCUCUUUGAGGUAGUGAGGUGGCUAGCCAGUGAUUGGAGAGAGGCACAUUUGCUGAUUGCUGAUUCAACCUUGGGAAGAACUGCAAUUUUUUUUAUGAAACAGAACUACAAUUUAUUUGGCACACGGGAAAGAUGAUCAUCGACGAAGUCACCAUACGCCAAUAGCUUCAUCAGAAACAUUCCUCUUCAGAUCUGUGGAGACUUGUCCGAGCCUUUGCAUCAUGCUCCCUUUUGCCUUGAUGUGUUACACGCAUUGGCCUCUCACAGUCACAGGUCGAAGCAAGACCAUGAGUCAGCACAGGUGCGGCAUCACUAGCACGUGGUCCUUCCUGUUCUAGUCUGAGGGGAACCUCAAACACAUUCUACGUGCACCCAAAGACCACCCUCCUUCGAUUGGUGGCCAUCUUAUGGACCAACCUCUGACCAGGAAACAUCUGAAGAUUGGAAUUGAACAUGGAAAAAUCAGACUCUAAGUAAUCACAGGGAACAUGGAAAAGAAUCAGGCUACUACAAGAUUGCAACAAUCUAUGGCCAAGAAUGCUCUACCAAUCCAAUCAAGCUACUACGAGAUUGCAACAAAUCAUCGGCACCAACGAAGGGAAUACAAGGCAUUUUGCGCUGGGGGGAAGAAUCAGAGCUCAUUAAUCUGAAGAAAUCCAUGACAAAGGGGAGGGAUAGGAAGUUGCCACUACCGAGGACGAACUCUUGUACUCAAUCGGGGUCGGAAGGGGGAAUUCACGAGCAAAUUUGAGGAUUCCGCAGGAAAGAAGGGGUAUGAACCUACCGCUGCUGCUCUUCAACGCAGCGAGCUAGUCGAUGAGGACGAGCUGUGGACCACACGGCAAAGGGACGGACACGCAAGCCGGUGACGCAGGG